rnacentral:rRNA from 1 species
GAUGAACGCUAGCGACAGGCUUAACACAUGCAAGUCGAGGGGCAGCGGGGUUGUAGCUUGCUAUAACUGCCGGCGACCGGCGCACGGGUGAGUAACACGUGGGCAACCUGCCCUGUAGAUUGGGAUAACUCCGGGAAACCGGGGCUAAUACCGAAUAAUCCAUUUCCUCUCAUGGGGAGAUGUUAAAAGACGGCAUCUCGCUGUCACUACAGGAUGGGCCCGCGGCGCAUUAGCUAGUUGGUGAGGUAACGGCUCACCAAGGCGACGAUGCGUAGCCGACCUGAGAGGGUGAUCGGCCACACUGGGACUGAGACACGGCCCAG